UGCCACAGCCUUAUCACCCUGCAGCCCAAGACUGGUUGCCCACUGACGCUAAGCAGGGUUGAGUCUGGUCAGUACCUGGAUGGGAGACCUCCUCGGAAAACUAGGUUGCUGUUGGAA
rnacentral:rRNA from 1 species